rnacentral:rRNA from 1 species
UACAGAGGCUACAAGCGUUGUUCGGAUUUACUGGGCGUAAAGGGUGCGUAGGUUGUAUUGAGAGUCGCGGGUGAAAUCCCAGGGCUUAACCCUGGAACUGCCUGCGAGACCUCAGUACUAGAGUGUGAGAGGGGAUUCUGGAAUUCCUGGUGUAGCGGUGAAAUGCGUAGAUAUCAGGAGGAACACCGGUGGCGAAGGCGGGAAUCUGGCUCACAACUGACCCUGAGGCACGAAAGCGUGGGGAUCAAACAGG